rnacentral:ribozyme from 14 species
AAAACGGGUGGAAGGAAAAGAAGAAAAAUGAUCAAUGAAUAGAGAGUGAAAUAAAUGAAAGUAUGAGUUUUUGAAAAAUCUCUUCUUUUAUUCUCUCUCUCUCUCUCUCUCUCUCAAUCA